rnacentral:tRNA from 1 species
GAGAUCGUAGCUCAUUUGGAUAGAGCAACUGCCUUCUAAGCAGUAGGUGGCGGGUUCGAAUCCCGCCGGUCUCAUUU